rnacentral:rRNA from 1 species
UAACGGCGAGUGAAGCGGCUACAGCUCGAUUUGAAAGCUGGCCCUUUCAGGGUCCGCGUUGUAAUUUGUAGAGGAUGAUUCGGCGAGGGCUCCCGCCUAAGUCCCCUGGAACGGGGCGUCAUAGAGGGUGAGAAUCCCGUAUGCGGUGGGCUGCCUUAGCCAUGUGAAUCUCCUUCGACGAGUCGAGUUGUUUGGGAAUGCAGCUCUAAAUGGGAGGUAAAUUUCUUCUAAAGCUAAAUACCGGCCAGAGACCGAUAGCGCACAAGUAGAGUGAUCGAAAGAUGAAAAGCACUUUGGAAAGAGAGUUAAAAAGUACGUGAAAUUGUUGAAAGGGAAGCGCUUGCAACCAGACUUGUCCGCAGUUGCUCAGCCGGUCUCCUGACCGGCGUACUCUUCUGCGGCCAGGCCAGCAUCAGUUCGGGCGGUCGGAUAAAGACCUCGGGAAUGUGGCUCCUCUCGGGGAGUGUUAUAGCCCGGGGUGGAAUGCGGCCAGCCUGGACUGAGGAUCUCGCUUCGGCAAGGAUGCUGGCGUAAUGGUUGUAAGCGGCCCGUCUUGAAACACGGACCAAGGAGUCUAACAUCUAUGCGAGUGUUUGGGUGUCAAACCCAUACGCGUAAUGAAAGUGAACGGAGGUGGGAACCCGCAAGGGCGCACCAUCGGCCGAUCCUGAUGUCUUCGGAUGGAUUUGAGCAAGAGCAUAGCUGUUGGGACCCGAAAGAUGGUGAACUAUGCCUGAAUAGGGUGAAGCCAGAGGAAACUCUGGUGGAGGCUCGCAGCGGUUCUGACGUGCCAAUCGAUCGUCAAAUUUGGGUAUAGGGGCGAAAGACUAAUC